GCCAGACUCCUACGGGAGGCAGCAGUGAGGAAUAUUGGUCAAUGGGAGAGAUCCUGAACCAGCCAAGCCGCGUGAGGGAAGACGGCCCUAUGGGUUGUAAACCUCUUUUGUCGGAGAACAAAACCCGGGACGUGUCCCGGACUGCGUGUAUCCGAAGAAAAAGCAUCGGCUAACUCCGUGCCAGCAGCCGCGGUAAUACGGAGGAUGCGAGCGUUAUCCGGAUUUAUUGGGUUUAAAGGGUGCGUAGGCGGAAUGCCAAGUCAGCGGUAAAAUCGCGGGGCUCAACCUCGCUCCGCCGUUGAAACUGGCGUUCUUAAGUGGGCGAGAAGUAUGCGGAAUGCGUGGUGUAGCGGUGAAAUGCAUAGAUAUCACGCAGAACUCCGAUUGCGAAGGCAGCAUACCGGCGCCCAACUGACGCUGAAGCACGAAAGCGUGGGUAUCGAACAGGAUUAGAUACCCCUGUAC
rnacentral:rRNA from 1 species